UCCAAACUCAGAAGGGGCAGGACCCCCCUA
rnacentral:piRNA from 1 species